rnacentral:lncRNA from 1 species
CUGAUAUGUCUUUAUUACCAGCGUGAACAUAGACUAAUACAGCCCUCCUCCUUCUCCUCUGUCACAUUUUCUUCUUAUAGGUCUUCUAACACAGAGCUUCCUACCCACUGUGCUGGAGAAAUUGAUCCCCUCAGCCCUCAGAUUGGCAAGGUGUGUCCAUGGGCUGAGUGCCUGGGCAGCAAUCUGGGACCUAGAGCAGCAUUUCGGACAGGAUGCUCUAUAUCAUCCCCUUUUGGCGGCAGCGUGAUGUAUUGACUUUUGUGGCCUCUAAACUCAACUUUGGCAAUGUGUACCUGCUGCUGAAGUUAAUGACUUGUGUAAGCAUCCCAUGUCUCAGAAGACUUUCU